rnacentral:lncRNA from 1 species
UGGUCAUAAUUUAUUUUGCGAAAUUAUUCUUAUGCCUAAAUAUGGAUAAUGUAAGGUUUCUACUGUUCUUACUAGAUUCUAAAUUUAUCCACCGUUGUUCCAACAGCACCACAGAUUCUAACUUUAUUAUGCCCAGAAAUCUAAAUAUUUCAUGUUCUUUAUUUGUGGUCGUGACAUAGAGUAAAAUAAUCUUUAUGUUUGUAAUUUUUCCUUAAUUUACCAAGUAUUGGUCACAUGAGAAUCCUGACCAACAAAUAGCUGCAAAAUAAUAAGAUUUUGUCAGCAAGCAUUUUUAACCAAGAAAAUGAAGGUCGGCAAAUGUCUUCCUUUGUUGCAGAACAUCCUUUAAUUCCAAGUAUGGAAUAACAUACCAUAGUCUAAUAACAUGGUGCCUAAAUAAUUUUAGAAUAAUUUUAAAAUCAGAGAUCAAGAUUCAAAAUACAAAAUGAAU